CACUCCUGCGGGAGGCAGCAGUGGGGAAUAUUGGACAAUGGGCGCAAGCCUGAUCCAGCCAUGCCGCGUGAGUGAUGAAGGCCCUAGGGUUGUAAAGCUCUUUCACCGGUGAAGAUAAUGACGGUAACCGGAGAAGAAGCCCCGGCUAACUUCGUGCCAGCAGCCGCGGUAAUACGAAGGGGGCUAGCGUUGUUCGGAUUUACUGGGCGUAAAGCGCACGUAGGCGGACUAUUAAGUCAGGGGUGAAAUCCCGGGGCUCAACCCCGGAACUGCCUUUGAUACUGGUAGUCUUGAGUUCGAGAGAGGUGAAUGGAAUUCCGAGUGUAGAGGUGAAAUUCGUAGAUAUUCGGAGGAACACCAGUGGCGAAGGCGGCUCACUGGCUCGAUACUGACGCUGAGGUGCGAAAGCGUGGGGAGCAAACAGGAUUAGAAACCCUGGUAGUCCCAUG
rnacentral:rRNA from 1 species